UACGAAGGGGGCUAGCGUUGCUCGGAAUCACUGGGCGUAAAGCGCACGUAGGCGGACUUUUAAGUCAGGGGUGAAAUCCUGGAGCUCAACUCCAGAACUGCCUUUGAUACUGGAAGUCUUGAGUUCGAGAGAGGUGAGUGGAAUUCCCAGUGUAGAGGUGAAAUUCGUAGAUAUUGGGAAGAACACCGGUGGCGAAGGCGGGUCUCUGGGCCGUAACUGACGCUGAGGAGCGAAAGCGUGGGGAGCGAACAGG
rnacentral:rRNA from 1 species